CAAGUUGCAUAAUACCAACAAUCUCAAAGUAUUAGGAAUAAUUAUACAAUGAUUUUCUCACAAGCUAGCUCUGAUACUAAGAGAUGAGUAGUGCACAGUAUAAGAAGUAAUAAGAAUAAGGAGGUGAGAACUCACAGAUAGUAUUACUUUAAGGGAUCUUACAGGUGAAACUUCGCAGGUAGAGCUCAAGGUGCGCUUGAAUGCUCUGCAAGGGCUGAGGUGCGUCUUAUUUAUAGUAAGGAUGUCGGGUGCUCAUGGGGCCCCAUCGUCACAUCUCAACUAUUCUGAUAAGAGCGCAUCUUUCUUUACAGUAUAUAGAUGCUUCUUUACAUAUUUUGAGCAUCUUUGCUUUACACGCGUAUCACUACUAGUUAAAGUAAAUCUUAUCGUCUAGCGCAUAGAUGCUUCUUUACAGAUUUGUUGAUCUCCCUCAAAUGUAAUGGGGUAGGAUCUGAGCUUGUUAAGUUGCUCUUGGUACUGCUUAACAAGGUGGAUAGGGCCUCGAGGAUCAUUAUUAGGUGGGCUUGGGCCUCUUGGUUAGGUCGCUUUGCUAAUUCCUGUAGAGUUGGUGCCACUAGCUCCAGUCGGCUCAUUUCUUGACUUGGCCAUUCUACCAAAAUAAGUGAAUUGAGAUCGUUAGUAUUAUGCAACUUGAUUUUGCAAAAGAACAGGUUCUAACUUGGCAGAAGGCAAGGAGGUCGUUGUAAGCCCAAGGGCACAUCUGUGUGAACAUCAUCAGGAAGGAACUGCCCGAUUCAAGAAGUUUAUGAGUAAUUAUAUAAUUACUAGGAACACUGCCUCUUACCGAGACGCAAUAUCCGCAACUGACCAGUUAGAAGCUCCACCCGUUGGAUUUGCAAAACCUAGCGACUAUCAAGGAUCUUCUAGUAUCUCUGUUAUUAUAAAGCAAAAUAAUACACAAAUCCAGCUUCUAGUACAGAUAGCAGAAUCCUUAAGGGAGAUACAAACCGACUUAAAAUUUGUAGGCAAAAGGGAUGCUGCUACCUCACUUCCAGAAGAUCUUAUAGAGAAAUUGAAGAAUCUAUCUCUCGGGCCUUCAAAACCCCGUGAGAAGCAAGGAAAGUUUCGGGUGUUCAGAGAUCCUUACAAAAUCUUAAAGGAGGAGCAAGGAAAGUUAAAGAAAUGAUGACAACAAGGUCCAAUACAGACCAACACCAGGUAUCCUCUACCCCCCUUUUUGAAGAUCAAAUAAGAGAAUAUCGCCGAAACCAGAUAAGAUUACAUAAUACUAAGCAAGCUGCAAGAAGGAUAAGCAGACGUCUUAUUGGAAGUAUAGCUCCUAGUCAUACCCUGGAAUAACAAAUUGACCCGCAGGCUCAACUUCAACUAUCUAUGCAAGAAAGGGCAUCUCUUGUACCAACUGAAGUAUUAUACCAUUCUCGGAGAGAUGACGCCAACCAUCGUGUAUACGUUCAUCGAUCAGAAGAAGAUGUACUUGUAGCAGACGGUAAUCAAGCAGAUAGAAGCUUUAUUCAAGAAGAAAGCUUCAAAGAAGCAACAUGCAAUAUAUACAUUUGCGUAUACUCCAGGUACGUAUACAAAUCCUCCACAGGCAACGAGAAGGAACAAUGGCUCUGAUUGUCUUCCGAGACAAUAGAUGGCAAGGAGAUCAGGCUAUUCUCGCCACCAUGGAAGUAGUCUUAACUCAAGGAAGCCAAAUGGUUUAUGUUAUUCCUGAAAUAAUGCUUACUAUUGGUGACUUUUUCCUGAAUAUCCAAAUUUCUAUAUUAAUAAGGGGCUAUGAAGCAUGGCAAAACGGGGAAGCAAAUCUCCUUAUCACUCGAGGAUUGGUAGGUCGACUUUCCAAUACCCUUAAUGUAGGUUUUGCUUAUAAAAUACAGGGGGUGGUCGACUACUUAACAAUGCAUGGCGUAAAAGCACUACCAGGAAGAAGCCUAUCAACUCAAAAAUUACAAGGGCUAAACUCGGUAAUUAAACCCACUCAAGUAAUAAUUCCCAUGCAACCAUCUGAAGUCAACAGUAACAAUCUGAUGGACGGAAGAAUUUCCCUGAGUUUCAAUAACUAUAUUGUUGCUCAAUCAGCCAGACAAGCUAUUUACACCGAACGGGAUGAAGAGUUACAAAGUCAGAAUGAUAAAAUAAUAGCAGUCCUAAUUGAAAGAGAAAAUGGUAUCUUUGAAGAAGUAGAUAUCCUAACAAAUCCAGACAGAAAAGAAACUGACUACCCCUACUUACUGGUACAUAAACUUUCUUCAAAUGCAAUAAUACCUACUAAACAAUCUACUGGUGCUGCAGGAUUGGAUCUAGCUGCUAGUGAAGAUUGUGUUAUUCCUCCACGAGGAAGAGGGCUAAUUCCAACAGGUAUCAGUAUGGAGAUAUCAUGGGGAACUUAUGGCAGAAUAGCAGCACGAUCAAGCGCGGCAUAUCGACUUGGUCUUGAUAUUGGCGCUGGAGUUAUUGACUGUGACUACAGAGGAGAAGUAAAUAUUAUUGCCUUUAAUCAUUCUGACCAAAUUAUUUAAAUUUAUAGAGGAGAUUGUGUUGCCCAAAUUAUCAUUGAAUAUAUUGCAAUAACUGAUGUAUAUAAGGUACAAAGUUUAACUCCAUCGCGGGAUUAAAGGUUUUGGCUCUACAUCAACACCACUAAUUUUCAAGGAAUUAUUACCAAAAGAAUCUGCUGCAAUGCUACUUCAGACAGAAAGUGAACUUCCAAAGCCUACCCUUGAGCAAGACCAUGCAAGAGAAACAAACCUAGGGGCCACUGUUCUCCAGUCCAUGGAUACUACUCUUGAGUAUGCUGAUACAGAAGAUGACUUUCUAGAGCAUAUCCAAUACUUAGCCUCUAUUUCAACACCCUGGGAUUCACAACUAAAAUGAGACUCUUAUGACUCAGAUAAGUCUUGGACAAAUCCAUUCGCAAUAGAAGGUGGUGGGAAAGAAAUCAUCCCCUCUAAAUCUAAAUCAAAAUCCAAAGACAAAAAGGAAGCUUGACACAUCAAAAGGCCGAUGGGAUAUCGUAGGAGAACCUAGUGGUAAAUUUGAUUAUUAUGUCAAUUACGCACUUCCUGAGCCACUCCCAGACUUGGAGUUCCCUGCACCCUCUUGGGAUGAUUACGAAGAAUUACCAGAACCUCCCAAAAAGGAGGAAGAAGAAGAACCUUCUCAAUUAUUAGCUACUGUCUAUGAAAUGAAGUAUCUGAGCUUAAGGCGCUUACAAGAAAUAAUUGAAGAACCUCAGCAAGUUUAUUCUACAAGUACUGUGAUAUCUCCAUAUCGACCCCCUCAGGAUGCAGUAAUGGGACCACCAGGAUAUUCUCCAGCAGAGCACAAGAAGGUCCAUCUACAUUCCAACCUAUCUAUGAACAACAACUGCCCAAAGUAAAAUUCAGAGGAGGAAUGAAUAAUGAAUUAUGGACUCUUCCUUCAGAUUAGCAACAAAAUGGAGCUUUAUUUGUUAUUCCUGAGCAACUGGGGUUAUUUGAUGUUGCAUUUUACAUAUGGGAAUCUAUCACCAAAAAUUAUGUUUCAAAUCAAGUCUCCACCGACACCAAAGAUAAGGUAGAAUUCAUUGAAAAUCUGCUAAGGGAAAUUGAAAAGCUUACAUGGAUACAAUGGUGAAUGAGUUACCCAGCAGAAUAUGAAGCCCUUACUCAAACAGGAGAAGGAAGGGAAGGAACGCAAAAUAUAUUAUCUCAGAUGCGAAGAGUAUUUUAUGUAGAAGACCCAGCCCAAGGAUCUAUAGCUAUCCAAGAUACUGUAUAUAGGGACUUAGAAAAUCUCUCUUGCGAUAACGUGAAGGAUAUAAUCCAAUAUAUUAAUGAAUAUAUGCGGUUGGCAGCCAAGACUGGGUGACUUUAUGCUGAACCAGAGCUUUCUGAAAAAUUCUGGUUCAAGAUGCCAGGUGACCUAGGUAACCGAAUUAAAAUGACAUUCGAUGAAAAAUACCCCGGGUUAACCGUUGGUGUAUUUCCUAAGGUUAUCUUUGCACACUAAGUUCCUAGAAAAGGAAUGGAAGGAUGUAGCUUUCAAGAGACCACUUAAGAAUCUCUCUUUCUGCAACCAAAUUCCUGUACCAGGCUACUAUAAUAAGGGGCAAAAGAAAUUGGGGAUCAGAAAGUCAAAGGCAUAUAAAGGAAAGCCACAUGAUACCCAUGCUAGAAUUGAAAGAGAAAACAUUUGGUAAGGAAUAAAAAAUGUAAGUGUUAUCUAUGUGGGCAGGAGGGACACUUCGCCAGAGAAUGCCCUAAUGAAAGAAGAAAUAUCAAAAAAGUUGCGAUAUUUGAGCAACUAGAGAUCUCUGAAGAUUGUGAUAUUUUAUCUGUCCAAGAAGGAGAAAAUCAAAGCGAUGCUAUAUAGCAUAUCAGAGGGAGAAGAUGAUAUAGAGGAUUUGAAUAGGUACUUUUCACUUCAACUCUUUAUAUAUGUUAGGACAGAUAGAUGGUGGCUAUUGACUGCAGGUAAAGGUUUCUGACCAGCAAAUGAACUAUCUCCAUAAUUGGAAAUUAAAUGAAAGGAUAAUACCUCCGCAAUCCACAAUAUGUAUUUGCUGUAAAGGGGCUACCCUUCAAAGAGCACGGAUACAUUGCUCGGAGUGUCUUAUGUGGACCAUACUACUUCAAUAAAGAGAAGAUGAGCAGGAUGCUGAAACCUGUCGGCCGGUUUAAGAAUGUCCUGCUCGGUGGCUACCAGCCUAGCAAAGGGAUACACUGAGAUUAUCCUAUCACUCAGUGAGGGAGGAGACGAUGAUGGCAAGGAGGAAGAAGAAGAAGAAAUAAGUCCAUAUCGUUCAGGAGUUGCAUUUCUGGGGAGAAGACACAUCAAGCGCCUCUAUGACAAAACAAUUUUACCUUAAAACUUCCUGUUAAUUUUUGUUUGGAGGAUCAUAUGCAUGAGGAUCUUCAGGAUCAAAUUCAUUCAGUUAUUUAUGUGAGAACUAUUUAUACUCGCUGCAAAUCUUUGUAUUCACUAUUUAAGAAUUUUAUUCACUCUAGUCUGCAAAUCAUUUCUAUGUUUCCAAUUGGUUCAUGUGCAUGAUUGAAAAACUGCACCACUUCAUGUAUGUUGUGACAUUGUUUCAGAUAGUUAAUAAAGUAUAUUAGAUUUUAA